rnacentral:rRNA from 1 species
GGGUCAGUAGGUUGGUCGUGCCACCGGUACGUACUGGUCUCACUGAUUCCUCCUUCCUGAAGAACCGUAACGCCAUUAAUUUGGUGUUGCGGGGAAACAGGACUGUUACUUUGAAAAAAUUAGAGUGUUUAAAGCAAGUUAACGCUUGAAUACAUUAGCAUGGAAUAAUGAAAUAGGACGAUCGAUCCUAUUUUGUUGGUUUCUAGGAUUGACGUA